AAGAGCGUUCGGUGGAUGCCUUGGCACCAGGAGCCGAUGAAGGACGUAGGAGGCUGCGAUAAGCCUCGGGGAGCUGUCAACCGAGCUGAGAUCCGAGGAUUUCCGAAUGGGGAAACCCAGCACGAGUUAUGUCGUGUUACCCGCGCCUGAAUAUAUAGGGUGUGUGGAGGGAACGUGGGGAAGUGAAACAUCUCAGUACCCACAGGAAGAGAAAACAAGAGUGAUUCCGUGAGUAGUGGCGAGCGAAAGCGGAUG
rnacentral:rRNA from 1 species